rnacentral:rRNA from 1 species
UACGAAGGGUGCAAGCGUUACUCGGAAUUACUGGGCGUAAAGCGUGCGUAGGUGGUUUGUUAAGUCUGAUGUGAAAGCCCUGGGCUCAACCUGGGAAUUGCAUUGGAUACUGGCAGGCUAGAGUGCGGUAGAGGAUGGCGGAAUUCCCGGUGUAGCAGUGAAAUGCGCAGAUAUCGGGAAGAACACCCGUGGCGAAGGCGGCUCUCUGGGACGGUACUGACGCUGAGACGCGAAAGCGUGGGGAGCGAACAGG